AUAUUGUAGCUUGCUACGGUAUAAUUUAGUGGCAGACGGGUGAGUAAUGUAUAGGAAUCUACCUAAUAGUACGGAAUAAUUGUUGGAAACGGCAACUAAUACCGUAUACGCCCCAUGGGGAAAAUUUAUUGCUAUUAGAUGAGCCUGUAUUAGAUUAGCUUGUUGGUAGGGUAAUAGCUUACCAAGGCAAUGAUCUAUAGCUGAUCUGAGAGGAUGAUCAGCCACACUGGAACUGAGAUACGGUCCAGACUCCUACGGGAGGCAGCAGUGGGGAAUAUUGGACAAUGGGCGAAAGCCUGAUCCAGCUAUGCCGCAUGAGUGAAGAAGGCCUUUGGGUUGUAAAGCUCUUUUAGUGAGGAAGAUAAUGACGGUACUCACAGAAGAAGUCCUGGCUAACUCCGUGCCAGCAGCCGCGGUAAUACGGAGAGGGCUAGCGUUAUUCGGAAUUAUUGGGCGUAAAGGGCGCGUAGGCUGACUAAUAAGUUAAAAGUGAAAUCCCGAGGCUUAACCUUGGAAUUGCUUUUAAAACUGUUAAUCUAGAGAUUGAAAGAGGAUAGAGGAAUUCCUAGUGUAGAGGUAAAAUUCGUAAAUAUUAGGAGGAACACCAGUGGCGAAGGCGUCUAUCUGGUUCAAAUCUGACGCUGAGGCGCGAAGGCGUGGGGAGCAAACAGGAUUAGAUACCCUGGUAGUCCACGCUGUAAACGAUGAAUGUUAAAUAUGGGAAAUUUAUUUUCUGUAUUACAGCUAACGCGUUAAACAUUCCGCCUGGGGACUACGGUCGCAAGAUUAAAACUCAAAGGAAUUGACGGGG
rnacentral:rRNA from 1 species